UACGGAGGGUGCAAGCAUUAAUCGGAUUUAUUGGGCGUAAAGGGCGCGUAGGCGGACAUGAAAGUCAGAUGUGAAAUCCCGGGGCUCAACCUCGGAACAGCAUUUGAAACUCUCUCUCUUGAGGGUAGGCGGAGAAAACGGAAUUCCACAAGUAGCGGUGAAAUGCGUAGAUAUGUGGAAGAACACCGGUGGCGAAGGCGGUUUUCUAGCUUAUUCCUGACGUUGAGGCGCGAAAGUAAGGGGAUCAAACAGG
rnacentral:misc_RNA from 1 species